rnacentral:misc_RNA from 1 species
GCCAUUGUCGUCCUUGUUCAAAUCAAAAAUCGCCAUGGCCGGGCAGAACUGGUCUGCAUCCCGGCCAUUGCGGUUGUAGCGUUGCUGAAUCUUUCAAGACGCGGUGCCCGGCACCUUCGGCGCGAAGACAUGCUUCGCGCUUUGGGCCGGGCAGAACGUCAGAUUUCGCAAUAUCCCUUCAGCGCGCCCGUAAGACUUGGACUUACAGGGAGCGCUG